rnacentral:misc_RNA from 1 species
GGACUACCGGGGUAUCUAAUCCUGUUUGCUCCCCACGCUUUCGUGCCUCAGUGUCAGUUACAGUCCAGAGAGCCGCCUUCGCUACUGGUAUUCCUCCUAAUAUCUACGCAUUUCACCGCUACACUAGGAAUUCUACUCUCCUCUCCUGCACUCAAGUUCUCUAGUUUCAAAAGCUUACUACGGUUGAGCCGUAGCCUUUCACUUCUGACUUAAAAAACCACCUACGCACCCUUUACGCCCAGUAAUUCCGGAUAACGCUAGCCCCCUACGUAUUACCGCGGCUGCUGGCACGUAGUUAGCCGGGGCUUCCUCCUCAAGUACCGUCAUUAUCUUCCUUGAGGACAGAGCUUUACGACCCGAAGGCCUUCAUCGCUCACGCGGCGUUGCUGCAUCAGGCUUU